AUGUUUGGCCUGAUCCCAACUCAUAUUGGUGCACUAACAAGAUUGCAUCAAUUAGUCUUACAAGACAACAAUUUUUCUGGUACCAUACCGGAUGGUGUUGGUAACCUAAGUAUGCUAGAGCAUCUAAUGCUUGAAAAUAACCAUCUGUCGUCAACUAUACCUGAAAGCUUAUUCCAUCUCAGUAACCUUCGAGAAUUAAGUCUAUCUCACAACUUCCUUAUUGGUUCAUUGCCCAGUGAUUUCAGUUCCAUGGAAGCAAUAGACAUUAUAGAUGUAUCUGCUAACUACUUGGUUGGUAACCUCCCGACUUCAUUUGCACAAAAUGGACUGUUAAGCAACCUUGAUCUAUCACACAACAUGCUGCAAGAUUCAAUCCCUGCCUCUUUCAAAGGGUUACUCAACCUAGAAGUUUUGAACCUAUCCUGUAAUAACCUUUCUGGCACUAUUCCAAAGUAUUUGGCCAACUUUACUUCUCUGACUAGCUUGAACCUUUAUUUUAAUAAGUUUCAAGGAGAGAUACUAGAUGGAGGUAUUUUCUCAAGAAACAUCAAUUCACAAUCUUUAAUUGGAAAUGUCGGGUUAUGUGGUGCCCCACGUCUAGGAUUUUUGCCAUGCCUAGUUGAUUCAUUCCCAUCCAACAAACAUUUGGUAUGUUUUUUGGUUCCAGUUCUCAUGAUAAUACUGGGAGCUAUAGCAAUUAUCCUAUACCUAAUGAACAGAAAGAAAAAUAGAAAGCAACCAGAUGCUAUGACUUCUAUGGACAUGGCUGACGUGAUCAGCCAUAGGCUAGUCCUACCAUGA
rnacentral:rRNA from 1 species